GACGAACGCUGGCGGCGUGCUUAACACAUGCAAGUCGAACGGAAAGGCCUUCUUUCCCUUGUGUAUUGCGGGUACUCGAGUGGCGAACGGGUGAGUAAAACGUGAGUUAUCUUCUCCCAACUUGUCUAUAAGCCUGGGAAACUGGGUCUAAUUCCCGAUAGGACUGCAGGGUGGUGCCGGUGGUGGAAACCGAUUUUCUAGUGGUUGCGGAUGAGCUCGCGGCCUAUCAGCUGGUUGGUGGGGCAAUGGCCGACCAAGGCGGCGAGGGGUAGUCGGCCUGGGAUGGUGGACAGGGAAAGUGGGACUGGGACAAGGCCCAGACGCGUAGGGGCGGUAGCAGAGGGGAGUAAUGCACCAUGGGCCUGAGCCAGCUGCAGCGACGCCGAGUGGGGGACGACGGGCUUGGGAUUGUAAACUCCUGUCGACCACGAGGAAGCCACUUGGUUGGAGGGGUGGUGACGGUAGUGGAAGAAGAAGCACCGGCUAACUACGUG
rnacentral:rRNA from 1 species